CCAUUUUCCAGCAGUUCCAGGCCGUUGUAACAGAACUCAAGGACGACCACCCACUGGUUGCUGACCCACGGGCUGGCUGGCUGGCUGGCUGUGGCAGGGAAGGCGCUGCCAGUAGAGUAGAAUUUCAGCCCGCACGUGGAAUAAUAAUAAAUCACCAACAACGGACAAAACUGAGGUGAAAAAAGAAAGAGGAAAAAAAUCCAACUUUCCCCUCCAGCAGAAGAAGAAAACACCGCGCACACCGAUUGGACAAACUGUAUUCGCCCGGUGCGGGUUACACUUGAAUGUGUCCACGUUCUGCAAACGAAACACAGACACACGUAGACAUCGUAGAAGGCUGGCGCGCUUAAAAUUGCCUAAGACACGGUGGCCUACAUUGAAACCAACAGUGGGUUCGCGGUCACCUGCGUGCGCGUAGGUUGCGGAGGAACGUUUGUCGGAAGAACGAAGAAUUGUUGGAGCACAAGACCACAACACAAGAAGCAAGAGAUGCUGAAGUUGGGAGGUUGAAUGAAGGUACCAAAGUAAGCCAUGGCUUUUUGUUGGAUGUUGCUGUCAAGUAACAGUGACCUACACGCAAUUCUAGCAAACAGUACUGGGGGGGUACAAAACUCGCGGCAGAAAGCAAUCACCUUAAAGCAACACUCUUUCCACAUCGGCGGUUCGGUCCAGAAACUCCGAAAGUUUUGAAAAAAAAGAAAUCAGCUGACACAAAACAAUUCACCAAUAUGGCGGACUAUCGGAUAGCUGUUUAUGACUUUCACUUUCGUUGCGCGUUCAACAGGCCUUGGUUGGUUCGGAAGAAUGUGGAAUUAGAAAAAGUAAAACGGAGAAAAUAUUAUAGCCCACAAAAACGCAAGUCCAGUACUCUACAGCAAAAAUAGAUGCAGCUUGUGUCGACAGGAUAUCAAAUUGGAACGUUCCAAGGAUCAAAUACCACGUAGGAA